GAGAAAAAUUUCAAAAAAUCCAAGGAAAUCCUGGGAAGGUGUGAGAAAAGGUACUACGUUAUGUGAAUCUUCUAGCAGGAGAGUGGCGUAAUAAGGUUCGUACUAGAAAAACGGCACACUUCAUAUGUGAUGAACGCAUGAGGGUUUCACUGGUGCCAGACGUGCAUAUAUGAAGUGUUGGAAGGAGAUCCUCGUACCGGCUGUGCUUAGUGCAAUAACCAGGCAACACAAUUCAGACUACUCUCUC
rnacentral:RNase_P_RNA from 1 species